rnacentral:rRNA from 1 species
AGGAUGAACGCUAGCGGCAGGCCUAAUACAUGCAAGCUGAACGGCAAGAUUUUUAGCAAUAGAAAUGCAUAGAGUAGCGUAAGGGUGCGUAACACGUAUGCAAUCUACCCACAACAGGAGGAUAGCUCCCCGAAAGGGGAAUUAAGACUCCAUAAUAUCAUUUAAUGGCAUCAUUGAAUGAUUAAACUACCAGGGGUUGUGGAUGAGCAUGCGUCUGAUUAGUUAGUUGGCGGGGUAACGGCCCACCAAGACGAUGAUCAGUAGGGGAACUGAGAGGUUGGUCCCCCACACUGGCACUGAGAUACGGGCCAGACUCCUACGGGAGGCAGCAGUAGGGAAUAUUGGACAAUGGGUGCAAGCCUGAUCCAGCCAUGCCGCGUGCAGGAAGAAAGCCUUCUGGGUUGUAAACUGCUUUUUUCGGGGGAUAAAAUACUCGUGCGCGAGGAAUUGAAAGUACCCGGAGAAUAAGCCACGGCUAACUACGUGCCAGCAGCCGCGGUAAUACGUAGGUGGCAAGUGUUGUCCGGAUUUAUUGGGUUUAAAGGGUGCGUAGGCGGUUCUUUAAGUCAGCAGUGAAAUACCCCGGCUCAACCGGGGAGGUGCUGAUGAUACUGGAGGACUUGAGUACUGAUGAGGUAGGCGGAAUGGACGGUGUAGCGGUGAAAUGCUUAGAGAUCGUCCAGAACACCGAUAGCGAAGGCAGCUUACUAAGGAGUAACUGACGCUGAGGCACGAAAGUGUGGGGAUCAAACAGGAUUAGAUACCCUGGUAGUCCACACUGUAAACGAUGAUUACUCGAUGUUGGCGAUACACAGCCAGCGUCUUAGCAAAAGCGAUAAGUAAUCCAC